UGAUAAUUCCCACAUCUGAAUCAUCUCGAGUUAUUUUUGGCAGAUUUUGAUGGAUGUACAUUGAUGGAUAGCCACAUGGAUCCAGAAAAUAAAGACUUCUACUCUGCAUAUUGACUAAAGCAGAAGAUAUGCAGGGAAGCUCAGUCUCUCAAUUGAGUGGAUUCUGAAAUUUAUCCUGUUGUCUUCAGCUACUAAGGCUAAUUUGCAAAUCACACUGUGUACGGGGUGAAAUAGGAGCACUUGGGAAGCACUGCAAUGAAUUUACUGCUUAUUCAGCAUAUUGAUAGAGUCUUCUCUAAAACAACAAAAAGUGUUGACAGCAAAUUGAAGAUCUUAAAGAAUGUGUGUGUCCCACCCCUGCAGUACUUCAGCAUUCUGAGGUAACAAGACAGUUGGCUUACUGCAUCUUAGAAAGGCUUAUUGAUUUUGUUAUUGCUACAGCUAUCAUGGGAGCAGAGGCAGCAAUUUCUCAAGCCUAGUUCCAAAAGGAUUAAACCUGACCAAGAUUUAU
rnacentral:lncRNA from 1 species